CAUUCUGUACACAGAUACAGCGAUAAAAUGAAAUGACUGGAACUUAAAUGUGAAAACUCUUUACAAGGUUUCUCAUUCUGUCACCCAGGCUGGAGUGCAAUGAUGUGAUCUCUGUCUCAGCCCACAGCAGCUUCAACCUCCCAGGCUCAAGUGAUCCUCCUGCCUCAGCUACGCAGUGCUAGAGUGCAGUGGCAUGGUCUCGGCUCACUGCAACCUCCGCCUCCUGGGUUCAAGCGAUUCUCCUGCCUCAGCCUCCCGAGUAGCUGGGACUACAGGCGUGCGCCACCACGCCCAGCUAAUUUUUGUAUUUUUAGUAGAAACGGGGUUUCACCAUGUUGGCCAGGAUGAUCUCGAUCUCUUGACCUCGUGAUCCACCUGCCUUGGCCUUCCAAAGUGCUGGGAUUACAGGGUUCUCCAGAGGGCCAGAACUAACAGGAUAUAUGUAUAUAUUGAAAGGGAGUAUAUUAGGGAGAACUGGCUGACAGGAUCAUCAGGCAAAGUCCCACUAUAGUCCAUCUGCAAGCUGAGGAAGGAAGAAGCCAGUCACGUCUCAAAGUCCAAAAGCCUCAAAAGUAGGGAAGCCAACGGCGCAGCCUUCAGUCUGUGGCGGAAGGCCUAAGAGUCCCCGACAAACCACUGGUGGAAGUUCAAGAGUCCAAAGGCCAAAGAACCUGGAGUCUAAUCUCCAAAGACAGGAAGUAUCCAGCACAGGAGAAAGAUGAAAGCCAGAAGACUCAGCAAGCCAGCCCCUCCCACCUUCUGCGCUGACUGGAUGGUGCCC
ensembl:lncRNA LENG8-AS1 LENG8 antisense RNA 1